UGGCUGUCGUCAGCUCGUGUCGUGAGAUGUUGGGUUAAGUCCCGCAACGAGCGCAACCCUUGUCCCUAGUUGCCAGCACUUCGGGUGGGAACUCUAGGGAGACUGCCGGUGACAAACCGGAGGAAGGUGGGGACGACGUCAAGUCAUCAUGGCCCUUAUGGGCAGGGCUACACACGUGCUACAAUGGCGAAUACAGAGGGUUGCGAGUCUAGCAAUAGUCAGCUAAUCCCUUAAAGCUCGUCGUAGUCCGGAUCGGAGUCUGCAACUCGACUCCGUGAAGUCGGAAUCGCUAGUAAUCGCGAAUCAGAAUGACGCGGUGAAUACGUUCCCGGGUCUUGUACACACCGCCCGUCACACCAUGGAAGUAGGUUGUACCAGCAGUAGGUAGCUUACCCUCGGGAGGGCG
rnacentral:rRNA from 1 species